CUCGGUUAUUUGAGCGAUCAGGAACCACAUCUUCCCAUUCCGAACAGAACCGUGAAACUGAUCAGCGCUUACGAUACUAUCUUUCGGGAUGGGACAAUAGGUCAUAGCCGGGG
rnacentral:rRNA from 1 species